CAUGAUCAGGAACGCGGUGAAAAUGCCAAAAAGUAAACUUUUGAGGCAGCGAUGAACGGACCUAAAUAUGAAAAGACACAACAUUUAAAAACAGGUCACUAUACAUCGACAUCGACUGCAUGCCUCUACAAAUCAGCUACCCAUUCAACUGUUUGAAAUAUAGUAGAGAGAUAUCGGCCCAGACUCGGCCCUAAUGACGUCACCCGAGUCCGACAGUACGCCAGAUGUCCCGCACCUCACCCACAUGUGGCCCGAUAGUACACUGCUAGCUGGGAGAGGAGCGGAGUCUGUACACUACAUGCUCUCUACUUAUGAAACGAGAAACGUUGUGAAUGUACAGUAGCUGAGAAGAAGUAAAACUAAAGUAUCGAUCCGAUUCUAAUACCAAGGUUGGUAUCAGUACUAUCGAUAUUUGGAUCGAUCCACCCAACCGUACUUGUUUAAGUAAACUGCUAAACCUGUUUGAAUCUAGCUCCAAGCAAUCCAAUCCAAGUAAAAUGUUUCAUACCUUUAAUUCUUGUUCAUUCUAUUCUUUAGGUUUUGUAAUUUAGAAGUCUUGUAU